GUGCUCUCUUCGGCAGCACAUAUACUAAAAUUGGAACGAUACAGAGAAGAUUAGCAAGACUCCUGUGCAAAGAGGACGCACAAACUUGUGACGUGUUCCAUAUUUUU